GACGUAGGGCGCGAGCGUUGUCCGGAUUUAUUGGGCGUAAAGAGCUCGUAGGCGGCUUGUCGCGUCGUUCGUGAAAACCCGGGGCUCAACUCCGGGCUUGCGGGCGAUACGGGCAGGCUAGAGUUCGGUAGGGGAGACUGGAAUUCCUGGUGUAGCGGUGAAAUGCGCAGAUAUCAGGAGGAACACCGGUAGCGAAGGCGGGUCUCUGGGCCGAUACUGACGCUGAGGAGCGAAAGCGUGGGGAGCGAACAGG
rnacentral:rRNA from 1 species